UACGAAGGGGGAGCUAGCGUUGUUCGGAAUUACUGGGCGUAAAGGGCGCGUAGGCGGUACUUCAAGUCAGGCGUGAAAGCCCCGGGCUCAACCUGGGAACCGCGCUUGAGACUGGAGAACUAGAGUUCGGGAGAGGAUGGUGGAAUUCCCAGUGUAGAGGUGAAAUUCGUAGAUAUUGGGAAGAACACCGAUGGCGAAGGCAGCCAUCUGGACCGACACUGACGCUGAGGCGCGAAAGCGUGGGGAGCAAACAGG
rnacentral:rRNA from 1 species